GUCCAGGGGCGGGAACCGAACCCACAACCUUCUGCUUACCGGGCAGGUGCCAUGUCCACUAGGCUACCCUGGA
rnacentral:tRNA from 1 species